ACGUGAACGCUGGCGGCAGGCCUAAUACAUGCAAGUCGAACGGCAGCACAGUGGAGCUUGCUCCAUGGGUGGCGAGUGGCGGACGGGUGAGGAAUACAUGGGAAUCUGCCCAGUCGUGGGGGAUAACGUAUGGAAAACGUACGCUAAUACCGCAUGCGCCCUUCGGGGGAAAGUCGGGGACCGCAAGGCCUGACGCGAUUGGAUGAGCCCAUGUUCGAUUAGCUAGUUGGCGGGGUAACGGCCCACCAAGGCGACGAUCGAUAGCUGGUCUGAGAGGAUGAUCAGCCACACUGGAACUGAGACACGGUCCAGACUCCUACGGGAGGCAAGCAGUAGGGAAUAUUGGACAAUGGCGCAAGCCUGAUCCAGCC
rnacentral:rRNA from 1 species